rnacentral:tRNA from 1 species
GGGCAUAGCUCAGUGCUAGAGUGCAUGCUUAGCAUGCAUAGGUCCUAGGUUCAAUUCCCAGUAUGUCCA